UAAGGAAUAUUGGGCAAUGGACGCAAGUCUGACCCAGCCAUGCCGCGUGAAGGAUGAAUGUCCUAUGGAUUGUAAACUUCUUUUAUGCAGGAAAAAUAUCCUGGUCGAGCACCGGGACUGAUGGUACUGUAUGAAUAAGCAUCGGCUAACUCCGUGCCAGCAGCCGCGGUAAUACGGAGGAUGCAAGCGUUAUCCGGAUUCAUUGGGUUUAAAGGGUGCGCAGGCGGAAUGAUAAGUCAGUGGUGAAAACUCCCGGCUCAACCGGGAAACUGCCAGUGAUACUGUAAUUCUUGAGUACAGUUGAAGGGGGCGGAUUGUGUCAUGUAGCGGUGAAAUGCUUAGAUAUGACACAGAACACCGAUAGCGAAGGCAGCUCACUAAGCUGUAAGUGACGCUCAUGCACGAAAGCGUGGGGA
rnacentral:rRNA from 1 species